ensembl:lncRNA
GCAGGAUGCGUCCCGAGGGUGCUGAGCACCUUCCAGAAGGUGCUGAGCUUCUUCCAGAAGCUGCAGGAUCCGUCCCGAGGGUGCUGACAGCCAUCCAGAAAAUGCAGGAUCUGUCCAGAGGGUGUGAGCGCGUUCCAGAAGGUGCUGGAUCCGUCCCGAGGGUGCUGAGCGCCUUCCAGAAGUUCCUGGAUCUGUUCCGCGGGGUUCUAGACUAUCCUCCCUGGUGCUGAGAUUCUAGAUCACCCAGUGAGGCUCUGGACUAUCCUGCCUGGUGCUGAGUGGUGCUGAGGUUCUUGAUCACCUGGCGGGGUUCCCGACUAUUCUGACUGGUGCUGAGGUUCUAGAUCACCCAGUGGGGUUCCAGACUAUCCUGACUGGUGCUGAGCGGUGCUGAGGUUCUAGAUCUUUCUGUGGGUCCUGAGUGCCUGACAGAGAGUGCAGAAUGCAUCCCGAGGGUGCUGAGCACCUUCCCGAAGGUGCAGGAUGAGUCCCGAGGGUGCUCAGCACCAUCCCGAGGGUGCAGGAUGAGUGCCGAGAGUGCUGAGCACCUUCCCGAGGGGAAAAUGGGGAUUUGGGGAGGGAAAAUGGGGAUUUGGGGAGGGAAAAUGGGAACUGUCCCCACCCAAAGUGUCACAAAGAGGAUUUUGGGCAGGAAAAAUGGGAUUUAACCCUGUCCAUGUCCCCAGGUGUGUCCCAGGUGUUCCCAGCUGUCCUCAGGUGUGUCCCCAGCUGUCCCCAGGUGUUCCCAGGUGUCCCCAGGUGUGUCCCCAGGCGUCCCCAGUGUCACUCACAUUGUGUUUCUGGAAGAAGGUCUGGUACCGGAUGACACCGACCCAGACGAGCAGCGUGGUUGUCCCCAGCAGGAUGCUGCACACGUCGUAGUCCGAGAAGUUCUGUGGGGACACCGCGGGGACACCGCGGGGACAGAGUGGGGACACCGCGGGGACAGAGUGGGGACAGCGCGGGGGACAGAGUGGGGACAGCGUGGGGGACAGAGUCGGGACAGUGUAGUGACACCGCGGGGACAGCGUGGGGACAGCGCCACCCAGACAGGGCCAGCACCCAGGGGUCACAAUGGCCACCCAGAGAUGGUGUCCCCGUCCCCAGGGCUGACCUUGGCCUCGAUGCUGAUCUUGAGGACGGUGCCCAGCACGGUCAGGAGGUCGCUGGUGACCAGCAGCAGGUACCACCCAUUGAGGAACUCCAGCCGCUCCCACANNNNNNNNNNNNNNNNNNNNNNNNNNNNNNNNNNNNNNNNNNNNNNNNNNNNNNNNNNNNNNNNNNNNNNNNNNNNNNNNNNNNNNNNNNNNNNNNNNNNGGAUGCGUCCCGAGGGUGCUGAGCGCCAUCCAGAAGGUGCCGGAUGCGUCCCGAGGGUGCUGAGCGCCAUCCAGAAGGUGCCGGAUUUGUCCCGAGGGUGCUGAGCACCUUCCAGAGGGUGCAGGACGCAACCCGAGGGUGCUGAGCGCCUUCUGGAAGGUCCUGGAUCUGUCCCGAGGGUGCUGAGUGUUGAGGGCUUUUGCAGGUGUGCUUAGCUUACAGCCUCUUUACAGUGCAUGCUGUCCCUAACAGUAGACUGCCAAAGAAAAGAAGGUGAUAAGUAUUCCUGCUUGUUGAGCAAGAACAAGGAUCAAACAAAGGUCUGCAAGCAUCUAGUAAUUUGUUUUAAGAUAAGGAUAGUAACGUGUUUAGAGAAGAACGAAAACAGUGUUAUAAACUAGAGCUAGUUUAUAACAAAAGUACAUUUCAUUUUUAUUUUUUUUAAGAAAACGGGGGAGAUUGAUGCCCUAAAAGCAUUUAAUUAGUGUAAUUCAUUAACUUUAAGGAGAGAAGUGUCUGUGUUUUGUUGGCAAGUUCAAAAAGGUCACCUGUUCAUCUGACCAGACUGUGGGCCUUUGAACACAUGAGAUCCACUGCGUGCAGCUUCCCUGGAACAGUUAAUGGGCACAGGUAUUUAUAGUGACCCACGGUGACAAGCUGCACUGAAUACUCGUGUAUUAGCACAAUCUAAGGCUGCUGCCUUAGAAGCCUCUCACAAUUAGUAAAGAGAGUAAAAUUUAUCGUAGUUAUUAAAAUAGCUGAUUCCAAAUACCGUAUUUUGUGUAUGAAGCAUUAUAAAGAGUAUUAUAGCGAUAAUGAAUCUUUGUGUUUUGAUGCCGUUUGUAACGAAUCAAAGACUAGAAACUUGAGCUAAUUUUUAUGUUACAUAAGCCAAUUGAACUAAUAAUCCUGCCUUUUGUUUGCACCUGACAGCAGCUACUGAUCCUUUUCGCACCUGUUUAGUUGAAACUCCUGAGUAUAACCUUAGCGAUUUUAAUAGUUGGGCCACCAACAAUUGUUCUACUGCUAAAAACACUAGUCAUUGUACUGCCAUGCUAUUAGCAAGCUUAACUAAAUCUUGCCAUGAGAUCCUUAAGAAAUAAAUUUACCUCGUAGCAAGCGAUUCCA